rnacentral:lncRNA from 1 species
UAUUGCUGAAGUUAUUUCUUUGUGGAAAUUUAUGUUACACUUGCCAGUGCUUUGUUCUGUCAGGACGCUGGAGGGCAAUUCAACUACAUGCGUGAGUCCAGCUGGUGCUCAUCUCCGUAAGAUCGUCAGUCCAGAACCCAGGCAAUGA